rnacentral:rRNA from 1 species
UACGGGGGGGGCAAGCGUUGUUCGGAAUUACUGGGCGUAAAGGGCGUGUAGGCGGCUCGGCAAGUCGGGUGUGAAAGCCCUGGGCUCAACCUAGGAAGUGCACUCGAAACUGCCAAGCUUGAGUUCUGGAGAGGAAGGCGGAAUUCUCGGUGUAGAGGUGAAAUUCGUAGAUAUCGAGAGGAACACCGGUGGCGAAGGCGGCCUGCUGGACAGCAACUGACGCUGAGACGCGAAAGCGUGGGGAGCAAACAGG